AACGCACCUUGCGCCACGUGGUAUUCCACGGGGCACGCCUGUUUGAGUGUCACGUUAACCAUCGCGUCGCGGAUUGAACCUUUGGCUCUCUCGGGAGCUGAUCAGUAUGUCUGCGGGGCGGAUUUGGAGGCUUGCCGUGUGAACGGCUCCUCUCGAAAUGCAUUAGCUGUCUGAAGACCGCGCCGCUGGUGUGAUAAUUUAUUUUGCGCCUAAUGGAACGGUGUUGAAGGUGGCUCAUAAACCGCCCGCAAGGGCAAUAAUUUUAAGCUUUGACCUCAAAUCAGGUGGGACUACCCGCUGAACUUAA
rnacentral:misc_RNA from 1 species